AAAAAUGUAAUAUUAAAAUUUAAAAUUUUAGAGUAGUAAUUGAUAUAUUCAAAAAACUUAAUAAAUUUGGCGGUAUUUUAUUUUAAUUAGAGGAAUUUGUUUUUUAAUUGAUAAUCCUCAUUGAAUCUUACUUAAUUUUUAUAAUUUGUAUAUCGUCGUCAUUAGAAUGUCUUAAAAGAGGAAAAAUUUUCUAAAAUAAAAAAUAUUAAUAAUGUCAGAUCAAGGUGCAAUUUAUGGUUAAGAAAAAAUGAAUUACAAUAGAAAGUAUUUAUUUAUGGAUAUAAAUUUGAAUAAGUUUAUUGAAGGUGGAUUUAAUAGUAAAUUGAUUAAAUAAAAUUAAUUGAUUUUAAACUUAAAAUGUGC
rnacentral:rRNA from 1 species